rnacentral:tRNA from 18 species
UUGGCUACAUCCGCCC